UACGGAGGGGGCUAGCGUUAUUCGGAAUCACUGGGCGUAAAGCGCACGUAGGCGGCUUCUUAAGUCAGGGGUGAAAUCCUGGAGCUCAACUCCAGAACUGCCUUUGAUACUGAGAAGCUUGAGUCCGGGAGAGGUGAGUGGAACUGCGAGUGUAGAGGUGAAAUUCGUAGAUAUUCGCAAGAACACCAGUGGCGAAGGCGGCUCACUGGCCCGGUACUGACGCUGAGGUGCGAAAGCGUGGGGAGCAAACAGG
rnacentral:rRNA from 1 species